AUAGGGGUGUAACGAUUCAUCCACUGAAUCGAUUAAUCGAUUUAUAUUCCUGCGAUCCAACUGAAUCGAUCUGUGCUCCGCAAAUCGGCAUUCCGGACAACAUAUAUCGAUUACAAAUCGAUUGAAAUGGUACAUAAUCGAUUGUAUCGAUACUUGGAAACUGCACAUUGGAUUUAAGCACAAAAACUGUAUCGAUGUGUGUUUGUUUGUUUGUUUUUUAGCACUUUAGACACGUUAAACGUUACUCGAUUCAGUCUGCCUGUCUGUGACGUCAUCAGUACGCAGCGGCAGCCGCGCGAAACUCGGAACAACAACAAAACACAGCGUGGAGGAGACAACUGCCAGCGAGACAUUUACAAACCAACAUAUCGAUCCAGCGUGUGGAAACAUUUCGGCUUUUGCAAACACGGAGGUGUUCUGAAUAAGUCGGUCGCUGUUUGUAGAAUAUGUAGAAGACAAAUAAAAAAACACGGAAACAGGACGAAUCUUUCCAGCCAUCUACUAAGGCGCCGUGGGAUUAAACAACGCCGACAGUCAGGACCUCUAGCAGCGUUACCGCUGCAGCAGCAGCAGCGGACCUGAAUGCUUCUUGCCAUCCGUCUUCGUACCACCGUUUCGGG
ensembl:lncRNA